GCUGACAAAACCACACUGCCUCUAAUUGGCUCCACUACAAAUAUUUACAGCUGUGAAAAGGAGUUUGCUGAUCCCAUGACUGUAGCCAUGGUUGCCUAUCUUUUUAGCUGCUGUUGUGCUGGUGAGAAACAUGAAUAGGUUGCAAGAAUCCCUCACUGGCUUUGUAGCAGGAACAUUUGCUGACCCAAAUGUAGAAGCCAAUUAAGCUCUAAAGCGUCUGUGUGUUUUUCUGAUUGAAUGUGUACUUACUUCUCCUGUUGGGAGGAAGGGAAGAAGGUGGAGCCAGGCUCUUCCCAGUGGUGUUCAGUGACAGGACAAAAGGUAAAAUGUGGGCUGCUGCAUUGUGCUGGUGUCCGUUCCCCCUUUCCCAGGCACUUCGUGAAAGCAGCUCAUGAAUGCACAGUGAAUUAUUUACACAGUUUACUUCCAGCAGAGCUCCAGAAGUUUCUUGUGAGGUGUAUUUGCGUGUUCUGUGUGAGGAACAUCCCAUCUGUCUGCUAAAGAAAACUCUGUGACUGGGCAAUUGAAACUAAAACCUGUUGUGGGUCUUCAGAAAGCAGAGAGAAAAAGCUUUUGAAAAGCCAAUGCCAAGUGGAGGCAUUCCUCAGCAGCACAGAGAGGCCUUUGCAACAGAGCCUUGCUUCCUGCAGCGAGGCAAUCCUGGGAACCAGGGAAAAGGAGAACGACUCACAAACCACAGGAGAGAAAUCAAUACAGGAGAGGCAGCGUGGGGAAAACCAACAGCAAAUUUCUUCUGACUCAGUUGUCUGAGCAAAGCCAACAACAACAUUAUUGGAAAGGCAGGAUGGUGUAUGAACGGUUCAUGGAGAGGUGGGAUUUUCCAAGUUGUGGAAGGAAAAUGCUGCCUGCAGCUGAAUUUCUACAAACCCACAUUUAAAAAAAAAAAAUUAAAAAAAAAAUAUUAUGCUGGUAGGAGAAGGCAGAGCCAGGUCCUGGGCUUUUUAGAAUAUAUAAUUUUUAGGAUGAGACCCUAUACAACUAUAGCAAACAGAUCCAAAUACCCAUUUUUAAGAAAAUUUUAAAAUAUUCCUGUGUCUGUAAAUACUUUUUCAGGUGCAGUUUUUCCUUCUGCACUCACAGGGGAAACAGCUAAUUAUGCUUAUUACCAUAUUUUACAAAAUUUGUUGGAUUAUACCCUUUCCUGACCCGGAGCUGGGGCAACUGAGAGGCGUUUUAAAAAACUUUUAUUCCAUUUUCAGUCUCAUGUGAAGGGUGAGAUGAUACAGAUGUUAUCAUUCACACCAUCACAAUCAGAAGCAAAUUAUUUCCUAAUUACAAUACAUUGUAAGCAUUUCUUGGCCUAUCAGCUUUAGCCACACCAUGCUGUAAAUGCCUCAAAGCCAGUCAUCUCAAAUUACCCCUUGUGAGUCCUGCUACAAUAUAUUUUUCAUUUUCUCUAUUUUCUCUAGUUCUAUUUCUCUAAAAUAUCUAAUCUUAUUUUCAAAGCUAUCCUCUAAAACUUGUUUCUAAUUCAAUUUUACUCUCAACAAUGUCCAUCCUCUUCCAUAACAUUUCUAAGUCAAUAUUUCUUAUCUCAAAAUUUGCAUACAAAUACACAUUAUGUAAACCUUCUGUCAAAUCUUAAAAAUUUUCUUUAAAUUGAUUUCCCACAGAUGAGACACUUAAAAACAGUUGUCAUGCAGUAUGAACACUAUAUUAGGAUAGAAACAAUGAUGUAAAACAAGUCUUGAUCUUAUCUUGGAUACGUCCCCUUCUGUGCCCAGAGCUGGUGUUGGAAGUUUUGUUGCAGAGCUCUGCACAGAUGUGGGGUAAUUAUUUCAUUUGUGAAUCUUUCAGUCUCAUCCUUCAGACUAAUCAUCUCCCCAGCUAUUUAUAGACUUCAGCUGCCAACUGGAAAACCAGCAAAGAUGGGAAAGGGAGAGAAAAAACAUCUUUUCUUAAGUUCCUGUGGGCUGCAGCUGAAUGCUUUAACUGAUCCUGAAGCAGAGGUAGCUGUUCCCUUGAGGCACAGUUUUCUUGCCAAAAAAGAGCUUGUGGUGACACCACAAUAAUCCCCACUCCAAAAUGCAAUUUUGAAGUUAUCCUUCCUUUAGUAUUGUAUGUUUCCUUAUUCUUUUUUCAUUUAAGGACAAUGUGCGAUCUGAAAAGAAUCACACAGAGGAGCAGUAAUUAAAGAAUUUUCCUCCAUCAUAGCAGUUGAUGGGAAAAUGCAAACAUAAAGAUGUUUUUUUGAUGAUGUUUCAUGACUACACAUUGUGUUUGCCAGGAAGGCAAUGGGAUUCAUGCAGAAGUGCUACAUCAAAAUGCCUUUGUGCAUAUGUGUGACCGUGUUCACAGGGCUCUAAGGAUGAGGGAAGAGACGAG